CGGCCGCGGGAUUCGAUUAGAGUUUGAUUCUGGCUCAGAUUGAACGCUGGCGGCAUGCUUUACACAUGCAAGUCGAACGGCAGCACGGGGGCAACCCUGGUGGCGAGUGGCGAACGGGUGAGUAAUAUAUCGGAACGUACCCGGAAAUGGGGGAUAACGUAGCGAAAGUUACGCUAAUACCGCAUAUGCCCUGAGGGGGAAAGUGGGGGAUCGCAAGACCUCACGUUUUCGGAGCGGCCGAUAUCAGAUUAGCUAGUAGGUGAGGUAAAGGCUCACCUAGGCGACGAUCUGUAGCUGGUCUGAGAGGACGACCAGCCACACUGGAACUGAGACACGGUCCAGACUCCUACGGGAGGCAGCAGUGGGGAAUUUUGGACAAUGGGCGCAAGCCUGAUCCAGCCAUGCCGCGUGAGUGAAGAAGGCCUUCGGGUUGUAAAGCUCUUUCAGCCGGAAAGAAAACGCACGGGAUAAUACCUUGUGCGGAUGACGGUACCGGAAGAAGAAGCACCGGCUAACUACGUGCCAGCAGCCGCGGUAAUACGUAGGGUGCGAGCGUUAAUCGGAAUUACUGGGCGUAAAGCGUGCGCAGGCGGUUUUGUAAGACAGAUGUGAAAUCCCCGGGCUUAACCUGGGAACUGCAUUUGUGACUGCAAGACUAGAGUACGGCAGAGGGGGGUAGAAUUCCACGUGUAGCAGUGAAAUGCGUAGAUAUGUGGNNNAAUACCGAUGGCG
rnacentral:rRNA from 1 species